AUACGGCGGAUGCGAGCGUUAUCCGGAUUUAUUGGGUUUAAAGGGUGCGUAGGCGGCCUUGUAAGUCAGCGGUGAAAUUUUGCAGCUUAACUGUAAAAGUGCCGUUGAUACUGUAAGGCUAGGAUUUGGUUGCUGUGGGUGGAAUGUGUGGUGUAGCGGUGAAAUGCUUAGAGAUCACACAGAAUAUCGAUUGCGAAGGCAGCUCACAAAGCCAAGAUUGACGCUGAGGCACGAAAGUGUGGGGAUCAAACAGGAUUAGAUACCCUGGUAGUCCACACUGUAAACGAUGACAACUCGCUGUCGGCGAUAUACAGUCGGUGGCCAAGCGAAAGCGAUAAGCCAUCCACCUGGGGAGUACGACCGCAAGGUUGAAACUCAAAUGAAUUGGCGGGG
rnacentral:rRNA from 1 species